UACGUAGGGUGCAAGCGUUAAUCGGAAUUACUGGGCGUAAAGCGUGCGCAGGCGGUGAUGUAAGACAGAUGUGAAAUCCCCGGGCUCAACCUGGGAAUGGCGAUGAAGACUGCAAGGCUAGAAUCUGGCAGAGGGGGGGUAGAAUUCCACGUGUAGCAGUGAAAUGCGUAGAGAUGUGGAGGAACACCGAUGGCGAAGGCAGCCCCCCUGGGUCAAGAUUGACGCUCAUGCACGAAAGCGUGGGGAGCAAACAGG
rnacentral:rRNA from 1 species